rnacentral:lncRNA from 1 species
CCAUGGCCAUGGGCUUAAGGACUCGAUCUUUCGAUCAUCAUAGGACUACUCUCUCAUCUACCGAGGUUGAUAGAUCCCAUCUUGGUGCGAUCUGGUUCCUACAAUGGAUAUGCUACAGCCAACAUACACCUCAGGGUUCUGAAUGGCUAGGAGACCGAGUUAUGAUGUAGUCAAACUAUAACACACUCAAGGUGAACCGUCGAUGCACCUC